AUAUUGAAAGAAUUGCCAUUUAUGAAUUUUCAACAUGGCAUAUGCGAUAAGCUAUGAUGGUGGACGAAUGAAAGAAGUACUAUCGUACCUUCUUUAGCAUAUAUGAUGCAAUAACUCGUUGUCAUUUGCUCAAACGAGAUGAGAAGAGAGAAUAUAUGUAUCAAGAACUUAUCGCGGCUCUUAAAAGUCGAUUCCAGCGUGUAUUGUUAUGGAUCUAGCAAUAUGUCAUAGUUGGAAAAAAAAAAGUUAAGCGAUAAUGAUGUAUAUAAAAGUCU
rnacentral:misc_RNA from 1 species